UACGGAGGGUGCAAGCGUUGUUCGGAAUUACUGGGCGUAAAGGGCGCGUAGGCGGCCUACUAAGUCAGACGUGAAAUCCCCCGGCUUAACCUGGGAACUGCGUCUGAUACUGGAAGGCUUGAGGAUGGGAGAGGGAUGUAGAAUUCCAGGUGUAGCGGUGAAAUGCGUAGAUAUCUGGAGGAACACCGGUGGCGAAGGCGGCGUUCUGGACUGCAACUGACGCUGAGGAACGAAAGCCAGGGGAGCGAACGGG
rnacentral:rRNA from 1 species